rnacentral:snoRNA from 1 species
UUGCAAGCCUUCCGGCGUACUUGGGUCUGGGGUGGCUCCUUGCAUUCCUGCAGUGCUUGCCAGUGUUCUGAGAUGGUGUGGGAUCUUGCCCUGUCCUUUCCUCAUGGCAUGGCCGAAGACAUUUCCGACAACU